rfam:Gorilla gorilla gorilla genomic chromosome, chr1, whole genome shotgun sequence
CCAUAGGCAUUUCUAAAAGCCACAUCAGAAAAGGAGAAAAAAAAAAU